ACAGGGCGGACAGCUCAUGCCAUGCCUGGUUAUCAGAGUGAUUGAUUUUAGUCAAUGCUGCGGGUGAAAAAAUAUCUGUUAAUAACUACAGCUGCAAAACUCCUGAUGUCAGUGAUAGCACAAAUCACUUCUCACACUCUGUAUUAUCUGGCUCAUUUGCAGAUAUGGAACAUUCCAACGAUCCAUUGGAACACAAAAUUUUAACGUACAGAUUUAUGCAAGAGGGAUGACUGCAAAGUGCAUUGCAUGAGUAGAGUAAGAAGCUGAAAAUUGCUGCUGUUGUAGCUGUCAUACGCACGUUAUUUUCUUUGGUAUGUGUGGAGAUUUCGCUGUCAGGCUUUUAUCCUCCAGAUUGUUUGUGCUGUACCUCUCUUCCUGCUUAAAAUAGAAAAUCAGUCACUGAACCUGGAUGCUAUUAAGUGUUCUUAGAAUAAUUCUUAACUAAGUUGGUUGAUUUUCACUUUCUGAUGAAAGAACAUUUGGUUGUUUAUUGCAGGCUCUAAAUAAACAUGUUUUUCCAAAAUCAACAGAUAAGAUUACAAAUUACAUUCCAUCAACAGAAUUGUUUACCAUAGGUAUAUUCCUUGCCAUAUAAUAUUUAUCAUUUUAGUUGUUAUGUUUUUUAUUUUGAAAGAUCUGGAGUUUAUCUUCAUCUAACAUUGUGUCUUAACUACAUUUUGCAGGGGUUAACAGGGAAUGUGGAUGUUUUAUGGACCUCAGAGGAGGAGUGGGGCAACAAAUAAUCUCAUGUGUUUGGUAGGAUUGUUAUUUUAAAUCCAGCCCAUUACCCAGCCUUUUUGCACUAGCUUUUUAUCUGACAUUCCCUACUGGCCCAAAACAAUAUAUUUCAUAUACCUCCAAACAUAAAAAUCUUCUCAGGUUUUUAUAGUCCCUUGUCCCCCUGGAAUUUACAGAUGCAUCCUUUUUCAGGAAGCACAUACAACUGUGGUCUGAAAUGCUGGAGUACUUGAUUUCUUGGAAUGAUAAAAUUGUCCUUUGCUUUUUCAAGCUUUCCCUCUCUGCUCUGUAGAUAAGUUCUUUAGCUGAAAAAAUGAAAUAUGAAAAAAACCAGACUUGUUACUGUGUAUGCUAUUUCAUCACGCUGUUGUUUAGUUCUGGCUGGUAUUCUGCAGAAGACCAGAGUGUGGUCAUAGUGAUAUCAGUUAGCCUCAACAUUUUAUUUAUGUAAAUGAUAGGGGAGAAAAUGUCCAGUUCAAGAAAGCGGAGAUGAUUCUUGCUUAGUAGGAGAUUAAAGCAUUACUGUCAUUAUUAUUUGUUCUUAUUUCUCCAGAGGAUCUGGGUCUUGAUUAUGAUUCCGUUGUGGUAAGUGCCUCUAUCAAUCACAGAGAGAUCAAGUCCUUGCCUGAAGAUGUGCAUAUAAAGAUACUCCAUACAGCAGCAUGCCUUGAAGGAGCUUGAUGAUAUGGCAAACUGAGAAGAUACAUUUAAAAUACUGCCCGUUGUUUUUAUGUACAAGAAUCCCAGCCAUGAAGGAAUCUGAACUAGGAGGAGGAGACGGGAGUUCCUGGCCACACUCUUUUGUUAACAUCAGUAAGCCAUUGCCAUAGGAUUGAGUGAAGAUGCACCACCUCAGGAAUUUUAGAUAAAAGGUCACAGCUUGACACCAAGUACAGGGCAUUUAUAUGCAUCCAUUCCAUUUCACAGGGCAUCCACUGUCUCCAGGCACAGCUGCAGGACUCUUCAUGUAUAAAUAAAUAACCUGCUGUAAGACAGAUUAUGUUCCUUGGAUAUCAAUCACUGUCCUGGGGCUUGCUGCUGAGAGCUAUUGGAUGUGUUUGCCUCUGAAUACGGGCUGAAAGCUGUGCUGGGAUACUCAUUUCUAGCUUGCCUCUCAGAUUUUCAAAUCAAGGAAAAAGUGAUUAAAAGAGACAGAGGGAUCAAGGUGCUUUAGACUUGUCCAUAUGAAGAGAUGGACUAUCCAAGGAAGGCACAUGGACCUUAACAGAGGAACUACUGCCUGAGCAGAAGCUGGCCAUGGGCAGUCACCAACAUGAGCAGCCUGGUGUGGAGCUUGCAAGAGAAUGGUCACAGUUUUGCAAAGAAAUAGCACACCUCAGAAGAGAUGCUUGUAAAACGGUAGAAGCUGAAACUAAAGCAAGAGCAGAAGUUUCCUCCUUUUCUCCUUGAAAUUCUUUUGGAAAGAACACUUUUGACUCUCAUUUUAUAAAGGAGUUGGGAAACUGUGUUGUUUAACAGAGGAAAAGUGAAUAAUUGAGAAACCUUGCUUCCUUUUCUCAUGGAUGUGAAUGGCAACAGUAACUAAUCAAUGAGGAGGAGACCAGGAGACCUGCAUCUGUUGAUUUUUGUUAAGCAAUGGAAGAAAGAAAAGAGAAAAAAGUGGUUUUCUCCUUUGUUUCCAUUGGAAAAAGGAACAGCAAGUAAACUGUGAUGUAACAUCAUUAAUAUCGGUCAUAGAAGAGGAUAUGUUAAAACAACAUAAUUCCAGAUGUUCAAUGAAGAUUGGCUAAUUGAAAAUCCAGUUGCAAAAAAUGUGCCCUCAGGACUCUUUUUGUCACUGCAGUUCAUCAUGUGGAGUGGUAACUUUUGUUUCUUCUCAAUAUUAAUAAGGAUGACAGCAGCAGUGAGCUUUAGGUGUUUUCCAGAGGAAGCAUUGGACCAAAUAAGUCUACUGGUGUGUCAUCGUAGGGAGUCUGUAAAGGCAGCUUUUGUUUAAACGUCUCUGCUUACUGCAUAGCACCACUGUGGGUGUGUUAUAUAAAUUGCGACAAUGGAGUGUAUUUCAGAUCCUUCAUCUCAGAGGCCAUCUGUCAUUGAAAGUGACACAUUCACCUGCCCAUCACUUCUGCAGCAGCAUGUGUGCUAGACAGGGUACAUCCCCAUGAAGUUAACAACAGGAACAGCUCUUCAUACAGCUGACUUUGGAAAGACUUAGUAAUCAAGUCACUCUUUCAGAUGUGAGCAAACACCACAAAUAGAUCGUUCUUUCUGUCCAAGAGAACACCAAGUGCUUUCCGCUUUGCUUCAGAAAAGAGCAAACUAGUUCCCUGAGGGAUAUUUUUUACUCAGUAGAAUCCAGCAUCGCCUCCAUGGGCACUUCUCUGCUCUCCCUGACCCACAGAUUCCAAGGAAGAAAACUAUCCACAGCAGGUUGAAGCUACAGGGGGAGUCCUGAAUUGUUUUUCUCCAUCAAGCUACUUUACUUCAAAAAGUGGACCUUCAAAAACAGCAAUUCCCGUGGAUCAGUGCUUAAAACGAUGUCAGGGUCUUGCUGAGCCAUUGUUGACCCCCUGGGUAGCAAGGUUGUGCAGAGCAGGAGGACUGCAGUGAACCUCUUCCCGUGUCUCAGGGGAGCCCAGUGCUGAGUGUGGCAAAACCCUUCAAGGGGGCGUAACACAGUGGAUGAUUGAUUGUACCCGCCAGCUGGCUAAUAUCAUAAUUAACAAAGUUGCUACCAUGUCUGAGAAGUUUAAUCGAAAAAAUUGCCGGCAGUAUGAUGCCAUUGUCACAGAGAUCAGAAGCGCUGCAGUGUUGACUUUUGUACUGGUGGAGCCGCAGGACUAUGUAGAUGUGCUGAGAAGUCUUUCGCUAGGAUAACUAAAGUGAGAUGUGAUUGCAGACAGCACACUGGGCUGUGGUAGAACUGACCAGUGGCACCUUGCCUUUGCUCUGCUCGUUCCCGCCGGAGCAGCUGUGCCACGGGGACGCCGAACUUCGGAGCAGCUGCCUGCGAUGAACCUUCACAUGCAGGAAUGUUGGCAGGAGCGCGUGGAAGCACAUCAGCAAGGUUUAGCUGGUGGAUCAUAUUGUGAAAUCUGCAGCCAUGAAAGGCCCUCCAUUUACUGCACCCUUCAAAACGAAAUGUUAGCAUGGGAGGGUAAGCUGGAGGCUAAUAACGAAGGAGUCAGUGAAGGAGACCGAUGCCACAAGGGUUAUCUCACAGCCCCAGAUGCUGGAUAAGUUGAAGCAGAAUCGCUUUUGGAUGACAUUCAGGAAGGCCUUGAAUGAUUAUCUUGCGAAAAAAGACUAUUCUUUCCAAGGGGUUUUUUUCCUCUCGAUGCAGCAAUGAUCUCUCAGGAAUCCUUUUUGAGACAAAGGAGCACUCCACAUCCAACCAUACCUAAGGAAAUGCUUUGAAGGAAUUGAGCAGCUCGCUUUUAAUCACAAGAGAGAAAGUACCCACAUGGAGUCAACAGAAAAUGAAAAAGUAGAGCUCGUGCUGCGAAUAAUUCCAUCAAGUGCCAAGGGGCUAGUUGAGAAAUAACUUCAUGAGGUGAAUAUCUUUAGCUCUUACUUAGGGUUUAGUUACUGUAUGAUAAUUUUCUCUUUUAGGAGCAAUGAAUAUCAUAAGCGUAUUUCCUAACUAAAUAGCUCUCUGAAUAUUUGUCAAGAUGUUGACAGAUUUCAGUCUUAUUGUUGUUAUUUAUUGCAAUGAAUUUAGCACCUGCAGACCUACAGAAAUCAAUUCUAAUAAAAAGCUCUCUGAGUCAGGCUGUCAGUAGAAGUCAGUCUGUGUCUGAAACCAUAUGUGUCAAUAUAUGUUUGAGUCUACCUGUAUGUGUUUUCGUGCUUUCAUGAUUUAAUGUCUGUAGUUCAGGAGGAUAACACGCAAAAAUAACCAGACAAAUGUAAGAUUUUGAAUGCUGCCCCCACCCUUCAGAAAGUGUGUCCCAUUGUGUUGGAGGGGUUUAAUAUCCAAUCAUUACAACAAAAGGAAAAAGAAAUUAUGUCACUGAUAACAUCCUAACCUUUCCCCUUUGGGCCUCUCAUCCAAAUUCAUUGGUUUCAGUACGAAAUUAGUUUGGUGACCUUUUUGUUUGAUUUAUUUAACCUUCCUCUCCCAGUGGAUGGGAAUGGGACCUUCCCUUCUUUUUUGUUUCUGGGCAUUUUUCUUCCAUGCGCUUACUUUUCUCUUGGGGUAGGAUCACCCCUAGGAAUGCCACUUCCCCUUUGUUCACUGUUGUGGGUACUGAUCUUGUCCUUGGUGGCUUGUUCCUGGGUACCCCCCAGGCAAGGACAGUGGCCGGGAGCAUCACCCAACUCCAGUGGGAAAGAGAAGGGGAGGCUGCAGGCCUGCUACUUUUAUAUCUGGAUAAUUUGGCAGAGGCUGUGGGGGAAUCCCUGGGCAGUGAAACCCAGAGCAGUGGCAGGUCAAAGACAUUUGCCCCUCUUAUGUAUUGUGUUUCUGCUGGACUGCUUAAGUCCGCUUGCGAAUCCUGUUUCCCACCUAAUGGAGCUGCAUGGAAACACUGUACCAGUCUUGGACUGAGCCCCUUUUAGAAGUGUGACUGCACACAGUUUAAAAUGGUCCAUCUGCAGCAUCAUUCAGGGUAGGGAAGGAAGAAGAAGAGGGCAGAAUUAGGCAAGCCCAAACACUUCCCAUCCUGUUCUCCAUGUCAAGUCACUAAGUUGGUUUUUGGAAUAGUUUCCAGCACGAAGUUAUCUCCGUUAAAAAAAAAAAAAAAGGAGUGACGGUGCGUAAGCAUCAGUCUUGAGGAGCACAGGAAAAGCCCAGAUUCUUAAGCCUGCAAUAUACUUUAGUUUUCACCUUCUUCCACAAAUGAAACAGGGCUGGGGGAGGCGAGCAGCUGUGUUUAUUUUAAUACAUCUAUUUUAACCCGUACCUAAAAACAAAUUGGAAGGUUUGGGAGUGCAUUAAUCUGGAUCCUAUUAGUGUCUCCUUCUCCCUCAAAAGUGCAACCUGAGAUUAAUUAAUGUAAACCAGAGUUUCAUAUGCAGUCUUUAAGUCAUUUGCAUGUUUUAUGCAUGAUAAUUGAAUUUAUUUAUGCACUUCCUUUCAUUUAAUGAUUUCUCACUCUUUUCUAUGCUAUCAACAUUAUAUUAUGCAAGACAUAGGAUUUGGUAGGCAAGAAAGGAUACAGUAUAUAAAUCAAAUCUGAGUUAAUUUUUAGUUCUAGUGUCAACACUAGAUCAGAAUUAAUAUUGGUCCCAUGUCAAUGGGGUUAUAUGGCUGGGAAAAUGUUAAAUAUUUUUGGUAAAGCAUAGGCUCUUAGCUUAACGAAACAUUUCUGAUGCAGCCUAGUUUGCUUGCAAGUGUACAAGCAAAAUUAUUUUUGAAUGGCAGUUAAAUUAUUGUAUUGACUUUUCAAUGACCCUGGAGACUUAUGUUUCUACUUGGCCAAUUAGUAGUAAUAAGAAGAUGAAUAGUAAUUACGUUAAUAAGUAACUGUGUUCAGACCAGGACCUUGGUAUUGUGCUCUGGCUUAGAAAAUAAGGGUAUAUUAUAAUUUGUCUCAUUUGGUCUUUCAUCUGGAGAAAUAUGGACUUUGGAGUUAUAGUGAAUUUAUCAUAGCCAAGAAGGUAAAAGUCCUAGGGAUGAAUGGGUCAUAUGAGAUAGCAGCUCUGUGGUAGUGGCUGUUUCAGUGCCAUAAGCAUGGAAUCUUGCUUUGUUUCUGCAGUUAAGCUCAGAUGUCUUAAAGAUGUCUUAGUGAUGGAGUCUGAUUUUUUUAUAAUGCAUAUCAGGAAGCUACUAUGGGAAAUAGUUUUAAAAAGAUGCUGGUAGUGGUGCUUUCAUAGCAUUUAUCAUUGCCAGUUUCUUUCGUGUCUCUUGUCUUUCCUUAUGUCUUGAAAGAUGUAUGUGGAAGUGAUAUUUUUCUGUGGUGUCCUGUCUUUUAUCAGUGAAUUAAAUGGUUGUGUCUUGUGAUCGUUUCUUGAUUCUCGUAGGUAGGAAUGUGUUUAAAGGCUAAAGUUCUUUUAAUUUGUAGUGUAACCAUUUCGGUGUCUUUCUUGUCAUUGAAAUGUAGUUUAAAAUGCUCAGUAAUGUAGCAUGAAAUCAUUGGUUAGUUUUGGAAUGGUGGUGAAAUCAUGUGAAGAAAAUAAGUAUUGCAUCUGAUCAAGAUAAAUUCACUCUAGUGUUUUAUGGCUUUUUAUUCCUAUGUGAUAGUAAUAAAGUCUCAUGUAGGGAUGGAAGCCAUGAAAUACAUUGUGAAAAAUCAUCAACUCAGAUGGGGCCAUCAGGAUAGCAUGCUGUAGUUGUAGAGUUAUUGAGAAUGAUUGGAAGACGAUUUAGUAUGUCACCACUUUGACCACGUUUUUGCAUUUUGUUUCUUCAUCCUUCACCCACGUAGUUUGAUGAGAGGAAAUCAGUUUGUAACAAGCCAAUCCAAUUUUACAUCAAUGUUCAGUGUUUAAAUUGUUCAUACAUCUUUCAUUUUCUGCCAAAGAUAACACUGUAUAUGAAACCCUAAGCUAAGAAUUUAAUAUAGCUAAUAAACACAUGCCAAAAUGAAUACGAAGAAGAGUUGAUGAAUUUCUAAAUGCUUGGAAACUAAGCAAGUUCUACCCUGUUAGCAGCUGGUCCAGCUUCUUUAUUUUCAUGUUUGAGAGCAAAUCUGAGGGAUGAUUCAGGGAUUUAAUCCCUGUGCUCUUUUACAUGGGCUCUUGUACUUUUCUCCAUUUCUCUGCUUGCGUGUCCUUCUGAAAAUGCAUGUUCUUUUGCCUCUCUGAAGCUGAGAUAAAGGCUGACAGUGUUGGGGUCAGAAAACAAUUUCUGACAAUUUCUUUACAGUGCUACUGCCUUACUGCUUUGUCUUCUUUUCUUUUGAAUACCAAUUUCCUUUGUGAAUAUUUUGGAGAAUGUUAUUUAUUCUGAUGCAACUAUUUACAAUUUUCCUGUUGUAUUAUUUCUCUGAAGCCUAUGUUAAUAAAACAUUAUGGAUUUUUUGCUA